rnacentral:rRNA from 1 species
UGUGUGUUAGUGGAAGCGUCUGGAAAGGCGCGCGAUACAGGGUGACAGCCCCGUACACAAAAAUGCACAUACUGUGAGCUCGAUGAGUAGGGCGGGACACGUGGUAUCCUGUCUGAAUAUGGGGGGACCAUCCUCCAAGGCUAAAUACUCCUGACUGACCGAUAGUGAACCAGUACCGUGAGGGAAAGGCGAAAAGAACCCCGGCGAGGGGAGUGAAAAAGAACCUGAAACCGUGUACGUACAAGCAGUGGGAGCCUCUUAAUGGGGUGACUGCGUACCUUUUGUAUAAUGGGUCAGCGACUUAUAUUCUGUAGCAAGGUUAACCGAAUAGGGGAGCCGAAGGGAAACCGAGUCUUAACUGGGCGUUAAGUUGCAGGGUAUAGACCCGAAACCCGGUGAUCUAGCCAUGGGCAGGUUGAAGGUUGGGUAACACUAACUGGAGGACCGAACCGACUAAUGUUGAAAAAUUAGCGGAUGACUUGUGGCUGGGGGUGAAAGGCCAAUCAAACCGGGAGAUAGCUGGUUCUCCCCGAAAGCUAUUUAGGUAGCGCCUCGUGAAUUCAUCUCCGGGGGUAGAGCACUGUUUCGGCAAGGGGGUCAUCCCGACUUACCAACCCGAUGCAAACUGCGAAUACCGGAGAAUGUUAUCACGGGAGACACACGGCGGGUGCUAACGUCCGUCGUGAAGAGGGAAACAACCCAGACCGCCAGCUAAGGUCCCAAAGUCAUGGUUAAGUGGGAAACGAUGUGGGAAGGCCCAGACAGCCAGGAUGUUGGCUUAGAAGCAGCCAUCAUUUAAAGAAAGCGUAAUAGCUCACUGGUCGAGUCGGCCUGCGCGGAAGAUGUAACGGGGCUAAACCAUGCACCGAAGCUGCGGCAGCGACGCUUAUGCGUUGUUGGGUAGGGGAGCGUUCUGUAAGCCUGUGAAGGUGUACUGUGAGGUAUGCUGGAGGUAUCAGAAGUGCGAAUGCUGACAUAAGUAACGAUAAAGCGGGUGAAAAGCCCGCUCGCCGGAAGACCAAGGGUUCCUGUCCAACGUUAAUCGGGGCAGGGUGAGUCGACCCCUAAGGCGAGGCCGAAAGGCGUAGUCGAUGGGAAACAGGUUAAUAUUCCUGUACUUGGUGUUACUGCGAAGGGGGGACGGAGAAGGCUAUGUUGGCCGGGCGACGGUUGUCCCGGUUUAAGCGUGUAGGCUGGUUUUCCAGGCAAAUCCGGAAAAUCAAGGCUGAGGCGUGAUGACGAGGCACUACGGUGCUGAAGCAACAAAUGCCCUGCUUCCAGGAAAAGCCUCUAAGCAUCAGGUAACAUCAAAUCGUACCCCAAACCGACACAGGUGGUCAGGUAGAGAAUACCAAGGCGCUUGAGAGAACUCGGGUGAAGGAACUAGGCAAAAUGGUGCCGUAACUUCGGGAGAAGG